rnacentral:rRNA from 1 species
CUCAAAGGAAUUGACGGGGGCCCGCACAAGCGGUGGAGCAUGUGGUUUAAUUCGAAGCAACGCGAAGAACCUUACCAGGUCUUGACAUCCUUUGACCACUCUAGAGAUAGAGCUUUCCCUUCGGGGACAAAGUGACAGGUGGUGCAUGGUUGUCGUCAGCUCGUGUCGUGAGAUGUUGGGUUAAGUCCCGCAACGAGCGCAACCCUUAUUGUUAGUUGCCAUCAUUUAGUUGGGCACUCUAGCGAGACUGCCGGUGACAAACCGGAGGAAGGUGGGGAUGACGUCAAAUCAUCAUGCCCCUUAUGACCUGGGCUACACACGUGCUACAAUGGGAAGUACAACGAGUCGCUAGACCGCGAGGUCAUGCAAAUCUCUUAAAGCUUCUCUCAGUUCGGAUUGCAGGCUGCAACUCGCCUGCAUGAAGCCGGAAUCGCUAGUAAUCGCGGAUCAGCACGCCGCGGUGAAUACGUUCCCGGGCCUUGUACACACCGCCCGUCACACCACGAGAGUUUGUAACACCCGAAGUCGGUGAGGUAACCUUUUUGGAGCCAGCCGCCUAAGGUGGGAUAGAUGAUUGGGGUGAAGUCGUAACAAGGUAGCCGUAUCGGAAGGUGCGGCUGGAUCACCUCCUUUCUAAGGAA